GGAGAACUGUGAUGAAUCAUAUUUUGUUAUGUUUGCAAACUAACACGUUAGCUUUCACGGUUUCAUGAAUGCUGACAGAACACACCAGACUUCUGAGUCAGAGAUAAAAGACUAUUACAACAAAAGCAAUAGCCAGAGUAUCACCGUUUUUGAGUUGGCUCCCUGGACCCCAGUUCUCACAGGAACGAAGCACACAGGCCCAGAUGCAUGCUUACACACAAGAUGGGUUGCAUUACAGAAGAGGAAUGCUGAGCUUGGGGAACCCACCAUGUUAUAGUGAGCAGUAAGCAAGCCUGCUCUUUGUUCCAUAGGGAGACAUUACCUCAUCCCUCAAGAUUGCUCGCUGCAAACACAACGCUGAGAAAUGGCCCAAGUAAAGCGUGAUCAGGGUCUUGCAUUCUUGGCACAUCUAGGAAGAACGUGCAAGGAUGCGAAUUGUGAAUCGCUUCUCCAAACAGGAACAAUGGAGGCCUGCGAUUUGGAGUUAAACUCUCGGUGAUCUCUGUGUUGACAACACCAAAGCUAGAGGAAUCCAGUAGGAUGUGGGCAUGGUUUUCCCGGAAGGCUGACUGAGCAGUUCUGCAAAUGUUUGCAAGUACAGGGCAGAAUUUCAUCCAGCCUCGGAACCUUGAGCCAAGACUCAGCAUCAGCAAAGCCAAAAGUUUCAUUUCUUCAACUGUGGGAGUGCUAGUCCCACCCUUUAGAUGGCCAUUCAGUUUUAAGUUCAAUAAGCAUUUUGAUUGAGAAAUACUUUGCUGAGGAGUGAAAAGUCCUUGGCUUUGAAAGACGAAUGAUGAGCAGUUCAGUGGCCCAUGUCACAGUCCAGGCACCUGCCGAAGGUGACUCCUUGGGAGGAGCAUCUUAGUCACAGAGCCAGUGCCUGCUGUAGGUGUGCAGAAGGGUGCGUGUGUGUGUGUGUGUGUAUGUGUACGUGUACAUGUGUGUUGGGGGAAGGGAGCAAGGUUAUGGGAGCAUUUCUUAUCUGCUCUCCUCUGCAAGAUUUCCUGUGAUUUAAGUCACAUUAAAGUACCCAUAAGCCCAUAAUGCAAAAGAACCCCAAAACCAGCCCAGCAGCCAACCAUGGCAGCAAGUAGAUGCUCUGGUCUUUAGAUAGUCAGAAAUGACACUUCUGGGCUCUCAGGCAGUCAGUGGGUUGAGCUCCCCAUUAAAGUCCCCCUGCCAAGUCUGGAAUAGUCCUAGUCCCGUGUGUGUGUGUGUGUGUGUGUGUGUGUGUGUGUACCCGCGUGCAUAUGCGCGCAUGCAGUGCAGGGUCUGCAUACCUAAAGCAGAUGAAAUUCUGCAGAAUGGCUGCCUCACUAGACAAAGUCAAGAAGACAGACCGAGGAGAGAGAGGUUGAUGUGUCUCCACUACCAAGAGAUAGGCUUCUCUAAGCCAGCAAGACAUCCCAUCCAACAAUAUGAAACUGGCCACAUUUCCUUGAGAUGUCAACGUUGAAAGUGUAGCUGCAUCUUUAUUCUUCACUGUUAUGAAGUUGGGUGCAACAUAGCUUGAGUGGAAUACAAAAACACCGCUUGGAAACACAUGAUCUGGAUUUGAAUCGCAGCUGUAUCAUUCACCU
rnacentral:lncRNA from 1 species